rnacentral:rRNA from 1 species
ACAGCAGCCGCGGUAAAACGUAGGAGGCGAGCGUUAUCCGGAUUUACUGGGCGUAAAGCGCGUGCAGGCGGUUAUGUAAGUUGGGCGUGAAAUCUCCUGGCUCAACUGGGAGGGGUCGUCCAAGACUGCAUGACUUGAGGGCAGGAGAGGGAAGCGGAAUUUCCGGUGUAGCGGUAAUAUGCGCAGAUAUCGGAAGGAACACCAGUGGCGAAGGCGGCUUCCUGGUCUGUACCUGACGCUGAGACGCGAAAGCUAGGGGAGCGAACGGGAUUAGAUACCCCGGUAGUCCUAGCCGUAAACGAUGGAUACUAGGUGUGGGCGGUAUUGACCCCGCCUGUGCCGAAGCCAACGCGUUAAGUAUCCCGCCUGGGGAGUACGACCGCAAGGUUAAAACUUAAAGGAAUUGGCGGGGGAU